CAAUUUAUUUGGGCUUGAGUUGGUUUUGUGUGGACCAAAAACACCUUGUGAGAAGAUCGGCGUGGUGGCGCUGUCGUUGUUACGCACUCUGAAUGGAGCUGUCUGCACCUCCCUCACCCUCUCUUCUAGUUCCCCCAUGUCCUUCAUCUCUGCUUACGAAAUCUAGGGUUAGGGUUUUACUCAGAACACCGAACACCACGUCCCUACCUUUUCGACCUUCAAGCUUUUCACUCAAUCAACGCAAUCUCACUCCAAUGAAUCUUCCCAGAGACGUCACUUGCGCGGCUUUGGAGGGAAACAACUCUUCAGCUGCAACGGCUUUGCCAAUUGACUCAGAUGCUAGAAUCGGAGAGGUGAGAAGAGUCACCAAGGAGACCAAUGUAUCGGUCAAAAUGAACUUGGAUGGCUCUGGGAUUGCUGAUAGUAGUACUGGAAUUCCCUUCCUCGAUCAUAUGCUUGAUCAACUUUCUUCACAUGGGCUGUUCGAUGUACACGUAAAGGCUACAGGUGACAUACAUAUUGAUGAUCAUCACACAAAUGAAGAUGUCGCCCUCGCUAUUGGAACAGCUCUGCUGCAGGCUCUUGGUGAUAGGAAGGGUAUUAACCGGUUUGGUAACUUCUCUGCUCCACUUGAUGAAGCAUUAAUACAUGUUUCACUGGAUUUGUCUGGCCGACCGCAUUUAAGUUAUAAUUUGGACAUACCCACUCAGAGGGUUGGGACAUAUGAUACUCAGCUGGUUGAGCAUUUUUUCCAAUCAUUGGUGAACACAUCUGGUAUGACACUUCACAUUCGACAGCUUGCUGGAAAAAACUCCCAUCAUAUUAUUGAAGCAACUUUCAAAGCUUUUGCUAGGGCUCUUCGACAAGCAACAGAGUAUGAUCCACGUCGCCGAGGAACUGUACCAAGUUCAAAAGGGGUUCUGUCCCGUAGUUAAUAUGUUCGGCCGGUGGACCUGCAUGGUUUGUUCUGGUGUGGCUCGAUAAUCACAUUCCUUAGAUGCCGUAUGAUGAUAAAUGUUGGUGCUGGGGGGCAGUAUCUGAUAGAAGUUACUGGCCUCUGUAAACAAUAUUGUUAUAAUGGCCAGCUGAUGGUGGAGACGUGGAUGGUUCAUGCUUGAUACUUGAGAGGUGGUGCUCCAUUAUCCUCAUUUAUGUUUCAAUUUUGAUAUCAUUCAAUUUAUGUUUGUCCAAGUUUUGUCUUUCCAUGCCCAUAACCGUAAUAAAAUGAGUUUAUUAUUA